CAUUUUAUUACCGAGAGAAUGUGAUCCGUCGGUAAUAUUAAGAAUUUAUAUUUUUUCUUCCCCUGCGAGCUGCAGCCACCGCCGCCGCCGAGCAUCAGCCAUCGCCUUCACCGAGCUACAGCCCGCCGUCGGCGAUUGUUUCGUCUCCAACCUUGCCCCGUCGUGGAUUGUUUCGCCUUCAAUAUUUGAAUUUUGAAGUCAAUAUUUGAAGAAUUAAGGGAGGUGCUGAGAUGAGCAGGACGUGUCACUCUUAACUGAGCCAAAGCAAAACAGAAAAUUGUUGCGUGUGAGAAAGCUACCAAUGGGCCUAAGUGAAUACGUGUUGGCAUAGAAAGGAAAGAGAAUUCCAUGGUAUUUGGUAUAUAAUUAACUAGUGGUGAUAGAGGGGAAUCGUGAGUAUUGUGCUAGUUUGCUUCUUCUUCUCUGCAAAGAGUACCACUGUACUACUCUUCUAUCUUUUCUUAAUCCUCUAUUUCUGUAUCCAGAUUUCCUAUUGUAAUCUCUUUUGCUAGAAAUUUCAAUCAAAUAUCUUUGCCCUAUAUUGGUGUCGUUCAUUUUGACAGAUUCAUUACUCCUUAUUAGACUUUAUGAGCCCACAGAUUAAUUUUUCUAGUUUCUAGGUUGAGGCCAUAGAUCAGCAUAAGGUGUUACUAUCUGGCGUGGACUGGUUGAUGGUAAAAUGUCAAGACACAAAAAUGAGACAGGCGCAAUGGCUGAACUGUGUGCUCUGUAUUAUGAUUAUUAUUCCUAUGGAUUUCUAAUGGAAGAAAAUAAAAACUACAGCGAGUGGAGGCAUCAAAUUAUCAAUGCACCCGAAGGGAAAAAGCUAGAGCAUGUCUCUAUGGUUUAUGAGAGGAAAGUGGUACAACAAUUUAGCCUUUUUUACACGGCAUCAAGGAGGCAAAGAAUGCUUUUAAAGCUCUUUUGGAGGCUUCUAAUGUUGGGUCUGACUGGAUAUAAGACCAGACCAUGAGAGUGAUAAUAGAGAUCUGGUGCACUAAGGUCGCUUGGAGAGAAAGCAAACUUUCAAUGAGGUUGUGGUGAAAAAGUAAAAAGCUGAAGAGAGAAGCUUUGAACAUAAGAAAGCAAGACAAGAUUUCAAGACAAUGUUACAGGCAGUAACUUGUUUUUUUGUUUGCUGCAAUCAUUGUAGGUUCUUGAGAACAAAAGGCUAUUUCUCAUUCCUAAAAUUCCAUCUUUUAUUAUGCACAGGAAGCUAAAGAUUUGACAUCAUCGAUGAGAUGGAGCAAAGCAAUACCUACUAUGUUUGAAAAAGACGAAGGUUUUCAAGCUAUUGAACGGGCUACGAAGAUAUCUUUGAAGAGCGUGUAGAGGAGCUUAAGAAAAAGAUUAGGAAUGAACAAAGGCUUUGAAGGAAUUGAGGGAGGAAUUAAAUGAGCAACUGAGUGAAAAUGGAUAGUAAUUUUACCGCGAUGGAGGAGAAGAUGAACCCGUUCAUGAUGUCCCACCAAUCACCUCAUAUCGAUGAUGAUGCUUCAGAGAUUUGAUACUCACUACACAUAAAAGAUUUGAUUUGAUACUUAUUGAAAACUAAUUACAAACUCAUUACUAUGUGUGUUUUUUUUCAUUCAACUUUGUUGUGUUGAACAAAAUUCAAAUAGGUUUAUAUAGUAAAUUUCCAUUCUCUUCUUA